UAGGGAAUCUUCCACAAUGGGCGCAAGCCUGAUGGAGCAACACCGCGUGAGUGAAGAAGGGUUUCGGCUCGUAAAGCUCUGUUGUUAGAGAAGAACGUGCGUGAGAGCAACUGUUCACGCAGUGACGGUAUCUAACCAGAAAGUCACGGCUAACUACGUGCCAGCAGCCGCGGUAAUACGUAGGUGGCAAGCGUUAUCCGGAUUUAUUGGGCGUAAAGCGAGCGCAGGCGGUUUGAUAAGUCUGAUGUGAAAGUCUUUGGCUUAACCAAAGAAGUGCAUCGGAAACUGUCAGACUUGAGUGCAGAAGAGGACAGUGGAACUCCAUGUGUAGCGGUGGAAUGCGUAGAUAUAUGGAAGAACACCAGUGGCGAAGGCGGCUGUCUGGUCUGCAACUGACGCUGAGGCUCGAAAGCAUGGGUAGCGAACAGG
rnacentral:rRNA from 1 species